rnacentral:rRNA from 1 species
GAUGAACGCUAGCUACAGGCUUAACACAUGCAAGUCGAGCGACCGGCGCACGGGUCAGUUCCACGUAUCCAACUUCCCCUUUACUCUGGCAUCUCCUUUCGAUAGAUAGUUCAAUAUCCGAUAUAAAGCACGGGGAUGCGUUCCAUUAGGUUGUUGGUGAGGUACCGGCUCACCAAGCUUUCGAUGGAUAGGGGUUAUGUGAGGAAGCGCCCCCGCAUUGGAGCUGAGGCACGGUCCAAACUACUACGGGAGGCAGCAGUGAGGAAUAUUGGUCAAUGGGCGCUAGGCUGAACCAGCCAAGUAGAGUGAAUGAUGAAGGGUUAUGGGUCGUAGACUUGUGUUAUAUAAGGAUAGGUAUUAGAUGAAUAAGGAUCGGCUAACUCCGUGCCAGCAGCCGCGGUAAUAC